GCUGGUGUAGCUCAGUGGUCAAGCACAUGCUUAGUAUGCAUGAGGCCCAGGGUUCAAUCCCCUGUACUACA
rnacentral:tRNA from 1 species